rnacentral:rRNA from 1 species
UACGGAGGGGGCGAGCGUUAUUCGGAAUUAUUGGGCGUAAAGGGCGCGUAGGCGGCCCUGUAAGUCAAAGGUGAAAUCCCUCGGCUCAACUGAGGAACUGCCUUUGAAACUGCAGGCUUGAGGCCGGGAGGGGGUAGCGGAAUUCCAGGUGUAGCGGUGAAAUGCGUAGAUAUCUGGAGGAACACCGGUGGCGAAGGCGGCAUCCUGGGACCGGCAUUGACGCUG